CUUGAGGGUCUGAGAAGCGGGGACCCCCAUGAGGGAAGGGGAUGGGGGGACCAUCUGGGAGGGGUGAUCUUGGGCAUCUGAGGAUGGGGAAUCCCUGUGAGGGGAUUCAGGGGACCCCCCUCCCGUGAAGGAAGGGUUUGGGGGACCUUCAAAGGGGGACGAUUUUGGGGGUCUGAGGAGGGGGCAGCCCCAUGAGGGAAGGGGUUGGGAACCCUCUCAGGGGGGGGUGGUCUGGGGGAGUCUGAGGAUGGAGGGACCCCAUGAGGGGAGUCGGGGGACCCCCCUCAUGAGGGAAGGGGCUGAGGGACCAUCUCUGGGGGAUGGUCUUGGAGGUUUUUCGGAAGCCGAAGAAGGGCAGCUUUAGAUUAGAUAGUGGGGAGAAAUUAUUUGCUGUGUGGGUGAGGAGUCCCUGGCACAGGUUGCCCAGAGAACUGUGGAUUCUCCAUCCCUGGAAGUGUCCAAGGCCAGGUUGGACAGGGCUUGGAGCAACUUGGGAUGGUGGAAGGUGUCCCUGCCCAUGGCAAGGGGUGGAAUGAGAUGAUUUUUAAGGUCCCUUCCAACUGAAACCAUUCCAUGCUUCCAAGAUUUUUCAAAGAUGCUAAAUACCAGGGAAAGAGUGGCAUAUGUAUCCCUGAUCCCUGAUCACUUUUUCCCAGGAAACGGUGCAGAACCAGGUGAAGACUCAUCCAGAGAGAACACACCCCAUCACCAACACCGUGGCUCUCACCUUGCCCUUCGUUCUCACCACUCUCAUUCUUCAGCAGGCACCAAACCCACCUCAGGAACGAGGAUCUUUAGCUGGGCUGAAGGUUGGGAGGUGCUGAAGUCUCUCAAGCCUGUGGUGUUUUCACCUGCCAGACCAAAAUAAACCUGGUGGUAAAAUUGUUGCAAUACUGUUAGGAAUUUAAGAGGUGGAAGCCAGUUUGCCUUAUUUUGGACUGAGAAAUAGGUGAUGAUAACACUUGG